AUAGAUCGUAAAUUACUCGAUUGGUGCACGCGCAUUCGGGAUUUUUAAUACUAAUAAAUAUUCUCCGACGACGAAUCUAAAAAGUCACGGUAUCAAAUUUGCAGAGGCUACACCUAAAUCUGUAUUGAGGCUAAUGGGAUUGAAGGGAUUGCCUUUGUAUCACUUAAAGAGUCAUUUACAGAAAUAUAGACUUGGACAACAACAAGAAGCCAAAAAACAGAAUGUUCUUGAUCACAAUACAGAGAACAGUGUUCUUAUGGGCAUCAUAACAUGCGUAUCGCAAGCACGAGCGCUAAUUCAUCGAGCAUGAAUAGUGAACAAGGAGACAUUCCGAUUGCCGAAGCACUUAGGUGUCAGAUUGAAGUGCAGAAAACACUGCAACAACAGCUUGAGGUGCAGAAGAAAUUGCAA